GAGAUAAGAAGCUGAGAGGUUAGCCAAGGAGCUUGCCUAUGAAUCACCUGAAGGGGUAGUUUCUAAGGAAUGGUAGGGCUGUCUCCUUUGAACACCCCUCAGGAGGACACAGGCAAGUCAUCCUUGGCUACCAAACAGACUCUUAUCU
rfam:Nelumbo nucifera unplaced genomic scaffold scaffold00140, whole genome shotgun sequence